rnacentral:rRNA from 1 species
UACGUAGGGGGCAAGCGUUGUCCGGAAUCAUUGGGCGUAAAGAGCGCGUAGGCGGCCCUGUAAGUCCGCUGUGAAAGUCAAGGGCUCAACCCUUGAAUGCCGGUGGAUACUGCAGGGCUAGAGUCCGGAAGAGGCGAGUGGAAUUCCUGGUGUAGCGGUGGAAUGCGCAGAUAUCAGGAGGAACACCAAUAGCGAAGGCAGCUCGCUGGGACGGUACUGACGCUAAGGCGCGAAAGCGUGGGGAGCGAACAGG